rnacentral:lncRNA from 12 species
AUGCCUUUAAGAAGUAGGUUUUUUCAGCACUACAGGAUAGUCUGUGCUCACAUGAGAAACUGCUUCUUGAUUAAAAACAAAACUGAGCUUCAGAUUCUCUGCCUCUACUGUCUCCCCCACCUCAGAGUUCUAUCCUGGAAUGAAAUAGAAACUCUGAUGGCAAAGUGCCCCCUGCCUGGGGAUCUCAUCAACCUUGCUCAGAAAUAUUGGAAGUCAAUCAUUCAUUCAUUCCGCAAGCAUUCACAGAGCACCUCCUGUAGGCCAGGUCCUAUGCUAGAUGUGGAAUAGAGCACUGAGCAAACCAGCAAGGUCCCUGCUCUCCUGAAACUCAUCUUCCAGCCUUGGUGCCCCUUAUCACAGGACUCUUCCCACAACACAAGGGACCAUGAAGUCAUACACAGCAUAUGGACGUGGACCUGUUCUUCUGACACAGCAUAGUAGGCUGAGCUUUAUUUUAUAACCUCUGCCUUAUUUUCAUUGCUAUCUGACAUCUGGGAAAGAAGUAAGCUGUCAUUUAAGUCUGAAUCUGCUCUCAGUGUUUGCUUGCCACGUGAAAUGGUUGCUCUGGAGCUGCCCCCAACAGAAUGCCUGUCCGGGCCCCACAGACAGAAGGGGCAUGUGAUCUGCAAAGUGUUUCACCAGGGGGUGCCAGCACAGAGGACUUGAACACAUCGCCCUCAGGUUCCCACAGAGCCAAGUGGGGAGGCACCUGGCCACAUGCUCCACCCAGAGCCCAAUGGCAGUGAUGUACCCCGAGGUGGGACCUGGCUGGCCAGCAAAGAGCUGGGUUUCCAUUUGAUCCUACAGCAGCUUUGCCUGUUGACAUCGGAUAGUCCUGGUUCUCUGCCCUUCAGUGGCCUCAUCUCCCAAUGAGACUGUCAUUGGCUCUCCUGACCAUGGGAUUUUUACGAGGACCAAAGAAAGUAACAAGAGGGUUCCUUGAACAAACAUACACAAGCACAUAAAUGCAACAUUUAACAAAAAUCAUAUCAUUUCAGGACUGUCUCAUGGUCUGUAAGUUAAUGUCAUAUUACACUCUGAUCAUUUUCCCCUGAACCAUGAUUUUUCCCUGUAGAGAAAAUGGAACCUCCUGUAAGCUGCAAAGCUGUGUCUGGGCCAGAAUCUAGCCAGUUGCAUUUGUGACUAUAAAAACCAGGAGAGUGGGAGAUGAUAUAUGUGGGGAGGCAGGUGUGCAGGUUUGCUCUGUGUAACAGAUAAACCACCAAACGUCCUCCUGUAGGAGAUAUGGGUCCAGCCAGGCCAGAAGUCAGUUGCACCCGGACGGAUGAGUCCCAUAUUUGGGCUUGGAGGGUAGGAGACUGUGCCUUUCAUCAUCCAAGGCAGCCACGGGCCUAGUUCUCCUUAGCCACACAGAGCCUGACCUCCCACUGGAGCCCAAGGGGUCACAAAGCCAGCCUGGGGUGGGUUACGGUGGGGGCUCGGUCUUCCUCUACAGCCCCUGGUGCCCUAAAGAGAGGGCUUGAGCCUGUAACAUUCCACUUUAAGACAGUUCAGACAAGGCCUCCUCUGCUGGAGGCAGGGUUAGCUUCCCACGCUGGUGCAGGCCUAGAGCCUCCUGCCCUAUUCCCCUCCUGCCUCUUCUGUUAGGGACCCACAGAACAAAGAUCUGUGAGCUGAGGGCACUAAAGGUGGAGGUUGCUGAGAGGCAAUGAGCCUGGCACAGCAGCUACUGUAUCACGAUUGGGUAGAAGGGAGCGUCCAUUCAGGGCAUUGCACGGGGCACCUUAUAUUAGAGACAGAAGGUGAGCAUCCUGCAUCCUGACAUUAUUGGGUUCAAAUGCUGGCUCUGCUACUCACUUACUGUGGGGCAUGGAGCAGAUUGCUUUACUUCUCUGAGCCUGGUAUCCUUAUCUGGAAACUGAGGAGGAGUAAGCAUUUAGGGGUUUUGAGUUGGCAUCAGAAGCAGACCCUGGUUCACUUAAACAAAGGCCGACUUGGGGGCUGGAUGUAGGUGGCUCACAGAAUGAGGGGAGCUGAUGCAGAAAUUGGGUCUCAGAGACUUCAGGCCCCUGAGGUAUACUCCGAGAUCCCAGAAGCUAGAACCAACCAAGACUGCAUCCAGUUGGGGGUGGGGGGUAUGGCCUCUCACGAACACAGAUCUGGGAGACAGAGCUGACCGAGCUUGUGGGGUCACAGACCUGCCCUGUGGCUAAGAAAGGAUAUGAGACCGUCCCACCAAACUGUACACGUAAUACCAUGAUGGUCCCCAGGACAGAGCUGGGUACAGCAGCAGCAGAGAGCACGCGUGCCAGCUGGGCCCAAACACCACGGGAGCCCAGCGUAGCGGCUGAUACCCCCGCUGACAGGGCUGCUCUGGGGAAGAAAGGAGAUGGAGCAGUGAAGCACUUAGCACAGCACCUUGUCCAGCUCCAGGGGUCAACAAGGUGCGGCUGUCCUAUCACUCACCGUAACCCUCCACAGCUCUGAAGUUCUUCCUCUACUUUCCAGAUGCGGAACUAGAACUCAAAUGAGUGAAGAGUUGCCCAAGGUUGCCUCAGCACCAGGCAAGAUUUUUGACUUCAGCUUUGCUUCCAGAGUCGGUUCCAUAAACUGCCAAGCCUCCUUCGAAAUGAAAACAAGGGACCCCUUGCUCAAAAAGCAGGAAAAAGGACCAUUAAGGGAACAAAAAUACAAAGAUUUUCCUUUCUUUCAGGGUCUACCUCUUGUAUAGUCUUGAGAGUUUGUUUUUGCUAUUUAAUGUCAUUCUAGGUAAAGAGAAAUUAAGAAUCUAAAUUAUUUGUGUCCAUCUUACUGGUUUUUAUAGCGUGCAAUGCCAGUGUUACACGCAAGUAAGAGUCAUUAGUUGGUCUGUGGAAUCGCCAAAUCAUCGGGUCAUUCUUAGCCUAAGUGGUUGGUUCCUACAGGGAAGAAACCCGAGCGAGAAAAGAGAGGAACCACCUGCUUAGAGGUUCCCUCUUCUUAGACCACCAUUGCCUCCUUUCUCAUUUGAUUUGAAAGCGUGGCCUCUUGGCAUUUUCAGUGUCAGAGACAGAACAUGCUUAUCUUGCCCUUGCACUGGGUCUUGCUGGGUUCCCAUGUGUUGUCCCCCCGAAUUCUGUGCUCACAGGGCAGCUGGAAUGCUCUAUGCAUGUGGAACAGCAAGGAACAGGCCCGUGCACAUUGCUAGGCUCCUCGGUGCCUGCGUGUCUCCUCUGCCCACGGGCUUUCCUCAUCGUCCUUUGGGCUUCACUUGCAAAACACAAAUUGGAAGAUACAAUUAUUAAGAAUGUCAGGAUGGGGGUGCCGGGGUGGCUCAUUUGGUUAAGUGUCCAACUCCUAGCUUUGGCUCAGGGCAGGAUCUCAGGGUCGUGAGAUGGAGCCCCACAUCGGGACCCAGCUGAGUCUGCCUAUCCCUCUCCCUCCACCUCUGCCCCUCCCCUGCUCUCAAGUUCUCUCUCCAAUAAAUAAUCUUAAAGAAAAAAAAAAAGAAUGCUA